CUUUUGCUAACCAGAAUGAUCCGUAGCCACACUGAAAUAAAACGAACAGGCUUUUUUAUUAGAAAUUUCAUAUUAAUUCAACUGUAUCCUCGUUGCCUAAAAUUUAUAUGGAUUCCUAUGCAUAUCAUCCGCAAAACUCUUUGAAUUCAACAGCGUCCUCAUAAACAUUAUAGUCGGUGGCUUACAUUGAAGCUAUAAGCAUGGGACAUAUAACCGGUACAUGUUUCGUAUAUAGUUUCAGCGGGUUCAACGACAUCUCGUUUUUUAUAUGCGUAUACUUCAUGUCACCACUAUGAUUUUACCCAGUGAGUGCAACAGAUGUAGAGCGGAAGGCGAACCAACAGAAUUACUGAAAAAUUAGCAAAAGCAAUCUUUUUUUUUCAAUUAAGAAUGAAUGUACUACUCGACGUCUCUUCACAUAAAUGAAAGCGAUACAAUGGACAUUGUAAGGAUCGAACCAUUGAGAUUAAGACCUUUUUGGCAAUGACAAGAAAAUAAUGAGCAUUCAAGGACACCCGACUUCGUGAACGACAACGCACUAGGCAAGAUACUGGGCUCUUCCAUAGGUGAUCAAACAAAAAAAAUUGAAAUUUAGAAGUUCUUAAUAGUAACAGGUAAAUAAUAAAUUUGAAAU